CAACCCUCAAGCUCCGCUUGGUAUUGGACCGUACCGGUAACGGUAGGCCCUAAAAUUAGUGGCGGUGCCAUCUGGUACUAAGCGUAGUAAUUCUUCUCGCUAUAGUUUCCCGGUGGUAUCUAGCCAGCAACCCCCAAUUUUCUAU
rnacentral:misc_RNA from 1 species